GUCGCUGGUGGGCCGCUGCCGCCGUCGCCGCUGGGUACACGGCGGUCUCACCGCCGUUGACCGAGAGGUUUGGAUAGAUCGUGAAAACGGGGUCAAAAGAGAUUAAUUUCGUUGUGGAAAGU